rnacentral:rRNA from 1 species
CCUACGGGGGGCAGCAGUCGAGAAUCAUGCACAAUGGGGGAAACCCUGAUGGCGCGACGCCGCGUGGGGGAAUGAAGGUCUACGGAUUGUAAACCCCUGUCAUGUGGGAGCAAAUUAAAAAGAUAGUACCACAAGAGGAAGAGACGGCUAACUCUGCGCAAGCAGCCGCGGUAAUACAGAGGUCUCAAGCGUUGUUCGGAAUCACUUGACGUAAGGCGUGCGUAGGCUGUUUCGUAAGUAGUGUGUGAAAGGCGCGGGCUCAACCCCCGGACGGCACCUGAUACUGCGAGACUAGAGUAAUGGAGGGGGAACCGGAAUUCUCGGUGUAGCAGUGAAAUGCGUAGAUAUCGAGCGGAACACUCGUGGCGAAGGCGGGUUCCUGGACAUUAACUGACGCUGAGGCACGAAGGCCAGGGGAGCGAAAGGGAUUAGAUACCCGGGUAGUC